rnacentral:rRNA from 1 species
CGGAGGAAGGUGGGGAUGACGUCAAAUCAUCAUGCCCCUUAUGUCUUGGGCUUCACGCAUGCUACAAUGGCCGGUACAAAGGGCUGCAAUACCGUAAGGUGGAGCGAAUCCCAAAAAGCCGGUCCCAGUUCGGAUUGAGGUCUGCAACUCGACCUCAUGAAGUCGGA